CAGGGAAUAGUUUAAGUAGGACAUCAGCUUUGGGUGCUGAUAGUGGAGCUGUUGCUUCUUCCUUGA
rnacentral:tRNA from 1 species